rnacentral:rRNA from 1 species
GUGGGGAAUAUUGGGCAAUGGGCGCAAGCCUGACCCAGCAACGCCGCGUGAGGGAAGAAGGCUUUCGGGUUGUAAACCUCUGUCCUUGGUGGCGAAGAAAGUGACGGUAGCCAAGGAGGAAGCCCCGGCUAACUACGUGCCAGCAGCCGCGGUAAUACGUAGGGGGCGAGCGUUGUCCGGAAUUACUGGGCGUAAAGGGUGCGUAGGUGGCCUUUUAAGUUGGAUGUGAAAUACCCGGGCUUAACUUGGGGGGUGCAUCUAAUACUGGGAGGCUAGAGUGCAGGAGAGGGAAGCGGAAUUCCUAGUGUAGCGGUGAAAUGCGUAGAUAUUAGGAGGAACACCAGUGGCGAAGGCGGCUUUCUGGACUGUAACUGACACUGAGGCUCGAAAGUGUGGGUAUCAAACAGGAUUAGAAACCCGAGUAGUCC